GACAUCAGGAGGUUAGUGCAAUGGCAUAAGCCAGCUUGACUGCGAGCGUGACGGCGCGAGCAGGUGCGAAAGCAGGUCAUAGUGAUCCGGUGGUUCUGAAUGGAAGGGCCAUCGCUCAACGGAUAAAAGGUACUCCGGGGAUAACAGGCUGAUACCGCCCAAGAGUUCAUAUCGACGGCGGUGUUUGGCACCUCGAUGUCGGCUCAUCACAUCCUGGGGCUGAAGUAGGUCCCAAGGGUAUGGCUGUUCGCCAUUUAAAGUGGUACGCGAGCUGGGUUUAGAACGUCGUGAGACAGUUC
rnacentral:rRNA from 1 species